rnacentral:rRNA from 1 species
GGAAUAUUGCGCAAUGGGGGAAACCCUGACGCAGCAACGCCGCGUGCGGGAUGACGGCCUUCGGGUUGUAAACCGCUUUCAGCAGGGAAGAAAAUGACGGUACCUGAUUAAGUAGCCCCGGCUAACUACGUGCCAGCAGCCGCGGUAAUACGUAGGUGGCAAGCGUUAUCCGGAUUUACUGGGUGUAAAGGGCGUGUAGGCGGGACUGCAAGUCAGAUGUGAAAACCACGGGCUCAACCUGUGGCCUGCAUUUGAAACUGUAGUUCUUGAGUACUGGAGAGGCAGACGGAAUUCCUAGUGUAGCGGUGAAAUGCGUAGAUAUUAGGAGGAACACCAGUGGCGAAGGCGGUCUGCUGGACAGCAACUGACGCUGAGGCGCGAAAGCGUGGGGAGCAAACAG